rnacentral:rRNA from 1 species
GACGAACGCUGGCGGCGUGCUUAACACAUGCAAGUCGAACGGAAAGGCCCUGCUUUUGUGGGGUGCUCGAGUGGCGAACGGGUGAGUAACACGUGAGUAACCUGCCCUUGACUUUGGGAUAACUUCAGGAAACUGGGGCUAAUACCGGAUAGGAGCUCCUGCUGCAUGGUGGGGGUUGGAAAGUUUCGGCGGUUGGGGAUGGACUCGCGGCUUAUCAGCUUGUUGGUGGGGUAGUGGCUUACCAAGGCUUUGAAGGGUAGCCGGCCUGAGAGGGUGACCGGCCACAUUGGGCCUGCGCUACGGCCCAGACUCCUACGGGAGGCAGCAGUGGGGAAUAUUGCACAAUGGGCGGAAGCCUGAUGCAGCAACGCCGCGUGCGGGAUGACGGCCUUCGGGUUGUAAACCGCUUUCGCCUGUGACGAAGCGUGAGUGACGGUAAUGGGUAAAGAAGCACCGGCUAACUACGUG